rnacentral:pre_miRNA from 1 species
AUACUACUCCCUCCGUCCUAAAAUUCUUGUCUUAGAUUUGUCUAAAUACGGAUGUAUCAAGUCACAUUUUAGUAUUAGAUACAUUCAUAUCUGGACAAAUCUAAGACAAGAAGUUUGGGACGGAGGGAGUAUAUA